UACGUAGGGUGCGAGCGUUAAUCGGAAUUACUGGGCGUAAAGCGUGCGCAGGCGGUUUUGUAAGCCAGAUGUGAAAUCCCGGGGCUCAACCUCGGAACUGCAUUCGAUACUGCUUUGCUGGAGUACUGGAGAGGAGAUUGGAAUUUACGGUGUAGCAGUGAAAUGCGUAGAUAUCGUAAGGAAGACCAGUGGCGAAGGCGGAUCUCUGGACAGUUACUGACACUGAGGCACGAAGGCCAGGGGAGCAAACGGG
rnacentral:rRNA from 1 species